AUUGAACGCUGGCGGCAGGCCUAACACAUGCAAGUCGAACGAGUGGCGGACGGGUGAGUAAUGCUUGGGAAUCUAGCUUAUGGAGGGGGAUAACUACGGGAAACUGUAGCUAAUACCGCGUACCAUAAGAUGAGCCCAAGUGGGAUUAGGUAGUUGGUGAGGUAACGGCUCACCAAGGCGACGAUCGCUAGCUGGUCUGAGAGGAUGACCAGCCACACUGGGACUGAGACACGGCCCAGACUCCUACGGGAGGCAGCAGUGGGGAAUAUUGCGCAAUGGGGGAAACCUGACGCAGCCAUGCCGCGUGAAUGAAGAAGGCCUUCGGGUUGUAAAGUACUUUCGGUAGCGAGGCGUUAACUACAGAAGAAGCACCGGCUAACUCCGUGCCAGCCGCCGCGGUAAUUC
rnacentral:rRNA from 1 species